rnacentral:snRNA from 1 species
AUGCUCACUUCCACAGCACAUGAACUAAAAUUGGAACAAUACAUAGAUGAUUAGCAUGGCCUUUAUGUAAGGAGGAUGCAUAAAUUCAUAAAGUAUACUAUGUUUUU